GACGAACCGAGCGAACGUUGUUCGGAAUCACUGGGCUUAAAGGGCGCGUAGGCGGGUGCUCAAGUCCGGGGUGAAAUCCUCCAGCUCAACUGGAGAACUGCCUCGGAUACUGGGUGUCUCGAGGGUGGUAGGGGUAUGCGGAACUAUCGGUGGAGCGGUGAAAUGCGUUGAUAUCGGAAGGAACACCAGUGGCGAAAGCGGCUUCCUGGUCCAGCACCGACGUUCAGGCACGAAAGCGUGGGGAGCAAACAGG
rnacentral:rRNA from 1 species